rnacentral:rRNA from 1 species
GACGAACGCUGGCGGCGUGCUUAACACAUACAAGUCGAACGAUGAAGCUGGAGCUUGCUCCGGUGGAUUAGUGGCGAACGGGUGAGUAACACGUGAGCAAUCUGCCCUUGACUCUGGGAUAACUGCGGGAAACUGUAGCUAAUACCGGAUACGACCCUUGGAGGCAUCUCUGGGGGUGGAAAGAAUUUCGGUCAAGGAUGAGCUCGCGGCCUAUCAGCUAGUUGGUGAGGUAAUGGCUCACCAAGGCGACGACGGGUAGCCGGCCUGAGAGGGUGACCGGCCACACUGGAACUGAGACACGGUCCAGACUCCUACGGGAGGCAGCAGUGGGGAAUAUUGCACAAUGGGCGAAAGCCUGAUGCAGCAACGCCGCGUGAGGGAUGAAGGCCUUCGGGUUGUAAACCUCUUUUAGCAGGGAAGAAGCGAAAGUGACGGUACCUGCAGAAAAAGCACCGGCUAACUACGUGCCAGCAGCCGCGGUAAUACGUAGGGUGCAAGCGUUGUCCGGAAUUAUUGGGCGUAAAGAGCUCGUAGGCGGUUUGUCGCGUCUGCUGUGAAAAUCCGAGGCUCAACCUCGGACCUGCAGUGGGUACGGGCAAACUAGAGUGCGGUAGGGGAGAUGGGAAUUCCUGGUGUAGCGGUGGAAUGCGCAGAUAUCAGGAGGAACACCGAUGGCGAGGGCACAUCUCUGGGCCGUAACUGACGCUGAGGAGCGAAAGCGUGGGGAGCGAACAGGAUUAGAUACCCUGGUAGUCCACGCCGUAAACGGUGGGUGCUAGUUGUGGGUUCCAUUCCACGGAAUCCGUGACGAAGUUAACACAUUAAGCACCCCGCCUGGGGAGUACGGUCGCAAGACUA